rnacentral:rRNA from 1 species
AUUGAACGCUGGCGGCAGGCCUAACACAUGCAAGUCGAACGAGUGGCGGACGGGUGAGUAAUGUCUGGGAAACUGCCCGAUGGAGGGGGAUAACUACUGGAAACGGUAGCUAAUCCCGCAUACCAUCGGAUGUGCCCAGAUGGGAUUAGCUAGUAGGUGGGGUAACGGCUCACCUAGGCGCCGAUCCCUAGCUGGUCUGAGAGGAUGACCAGCCACCCUGGAACUGAGACACGUUCCAGACGCCGACGGGAGGCAGCAGUGGGGAAUAUUGCACAAUGGGCGCAAGCCUGAUGCAGCCAUGCCGCGUGUAUGAAGAAGGCCUUCGGGUUGUAAAGUACUUUCAGCGAGGAGGCGUUACUCGCAGAAGAAGCACCGGCUAACUACGUGCCAGCAGCCGCGGUAAUAC